GACGAACGCUGGCGGCGUGCCUAACACAUGCAAGUCGAACGGAACUGUUUUGAAAGAUUUCUUCGGAAUGAAUUUGAUUUAGUUUAGUGGCGGACGGGUGAGUAACGCGUGAGUAACCUGCCUUCAAGAGGGGAAUAACAUUCUGAAAAGAAUGCUAAUACCGCAUGACAUAUCGGAACCACAUGGUUUUGAUAUCAAAGAUUUUAUCGCUUGAAGAUGGACUCGCGUCCGAUUAGUUAGUUGGUGAGGUAACGGCUCACCAAGACCGCGAUCGGUAGCCGGACUGAGAGGUUGAACGGCCACAUUGGGACUGAGACACGGCCCAGACUCCUACGGGAGGCAGCAGUGGGGGAUAUUGCGCAAGGGGGGCAACCCUGACGCAGCAACGCCGCGUGAAGGAUGAAGGUUUUCGGAGUGUAAACUUCUUUUAUUAAGGACGAAAAAUGACGGUACUUAAUGAAUAAGCUCCGGCUAACUACGUG
rnacentral:rRNA from 1 species